GACGAACGCUGGCGGCGUGCUUAACACAUGCAAGUCGAACGGAAAGGCCCUGCUUUUGUGGGGUGCUCGAGUGGCGAACGUGUGAGUAACACGUGAGUAACCUGCCCUUGACUUUGGGAUAACUUCAGGAAACUGGGGCUAAUACCGGAUAGGAGCUCCUGCUGCAUGGUGGGGGUUGGAAAGUUUCGGCGGUUGGGGAUGGACUCGCGGCUUAUCAGCUUGUUGGUGGGGUAGUGGCUUACCAAGGCUUUGACGGGUAGCCGGCCUGUGAGGGUGACCGGCGACAUUGGGACUGAGAUACGGCCCAGACUCCUACGGGAGGCAGCAGUGGGGAAUAUUGCACAAUGGGCGGAAGCCUGAUGCAGCAACGCCGCGUGCGGGAUGACGGCCUUCGGGUUGUAAACCGCUUUCGCCUGUGACGAAGCGUGAGUGACGGUAAUGGGUAAAGAAGCACCGGCUAAUUACGUG
rnacentral:rRNA from 1 species